AGAGUUUGAUCCUGGCUCAGGAUGAACGCUAGCUACAGGCUUAACACAUGCAAGUCGAGGGGCAUCAGGAAGAAAGCUUGCUUUCUUUGCUGGCGACCGGCGCACGGGUGAGUAACACGUAUCCAACCUGCCCUUUACUCGGGGAUAGCCUUUCGAAAGAAAGAUUAAUACCCGAUAGCAUAAUGAUUCCGCAUGGUUUCAUUAUUAAAGGAUUCCGGUAAAGGAUGGGGAUGCGUUCCAUUAGGUUGUUGGUGAGGUAACGGCUCACCAAGCCUUCGAUGGAUAGGGGUUCUGAGAGGAAGGUCCCCCACAUUGGAACUGAGACACGGUCCAAACUCCUACGGGAGGCAGCAGUGAGGAAUAUUGGUCAAUGGGCGCUAGCCUGAACCAGCCAAGUAGCGUGAAGGAUGAAGGCUCUAUGGGUCGUAAACUUCUUUUAUAUAAGAAUAAAGUGCAGUAUGUAUACUGUUUUGUAUGUAUUAUAUGAAUAAGGAUCGGCUAACUCCGUGCCAGCAGCCGCGGUAAUACGGAGGAUCCGAGCGUUAUCCGGAUUUAUUGGGUUUAAAGGGAGCGUAGGUGGACUGGUAAGUCAGUUGUGAAAGUUUGCGGCUCAACCGUAAAAUUGCAGUUGAUACUGUCAGUCUUGAGUACAGUAGAGGUGGGCGGAAUUCGUGGUGUAGCGGUGAAAUGCUUAGAUAUCACGAAGAACUCCGAUUGCGAAGGCAGCUCACUGGACUGCAACUGACACUGAUGCUCGAAAGUGUGGGUAUCAAACAGGAUUAGAUACCCUGGUAGUCCACACAGUAAACGAUGAAUACUCGCUGUUUGCGAUAUACAGUAAGCGGCCAAGCGAAAGCAUUAAGUAUUCCACCUGGGGAGUACGCCGGCAACGGUGAAACUCAAAGGAAUUGACGGGGGCCCGCACAAGCGGAGGAACAUGUGGUUUAAUUCGAUGAUACGCGAGGAACCUUACCCGGGCUUAAAUUGCAGUGGAAUGAUGUGGAAACAUGUCAGUGAGCAAUCACCGCUGUGAAGGUGCUGCAUGGUUGUCGUCAGCUCGUGCCGUGAGGUGUCGGCUUAAGUGCCAUAACGAGCGCAACCCUUAUCUUCAGUUACUAACAGGUCAUGCUGAGGACUCUGGAGAGACUGCCGUCGUAAGAUGUGAGGAAGGUGGGGAUGACGUCAAAUCAGCACGGCCCUUACGUCCGGGGCUACACACGUGUUACAAUGGGGGGUACAGAAGGCAGCUAGCGGGUGACCGUAUGCUAAUCCCAAAAGCCUCUCUCAGUUCGGAUCGAAGUCUGCAACCCGACUUCGUGAAGCUGGAUUCGCUAGUAAUCGCGCAUCAGCCACGGCGCGGUGAAUACGUUCCCGGGCCUUGUACACACCGCCCGUCAAGCCAUGGGAGCCGGGGGUACCUGAAGUACGUAACCGCAAGGAUCGUCCUAGGGUAAAACUGGUGACUGGGGCUAAGUCGUAACAAGGUAGCCGUACCGGAA
rnacentral:rRNA from 1 species